rnacentral:rRNA from 1 species
UAGCCGUAAACGAUACUCGCUAGGUGUCGGCCACGGUGCGACCGUUGUCGGUGCCGUAGGGAAGCCGUGAAGCGAGCCACCUGAGAAGUACGGCCGCAAGGCUGAAACUUAAAGGAAUUGGCGGGGGAGCACAACAACGGGUGGAGCUUGCGGUUUAAUUGGAUUCAACGCCGGAAAUCUUACCGGGACCGACAGCAACAUGAAGGCCAAGCUGAAGACUUUGCCGGAUUAGCUGAGAGGAGGUGCAUGGCGUAGUCGUGU